UACGUAGGGGCCAAGCGUUGUCCGGAGUUACUGGGCGUAAAGCGUGCGCAGGCGGCUCGUUGCGCCCGACGUGAAAGCCCCGGGCUCAACCUGGGAAUGGCAGUGGAUACUGGCGAGCUAGAGUGUGAUAGAGGAUGGUGGAAUUCCCGGUGUAGCGGUGAAAUGCGUAGAGAUCGGGAGGAACAUCAGUGGCGAAGGCGGCCAUCUGGAUCAACACUGACGCUGAGGCACGAAAGCGUGGGGAGCAAACAGG
rnacentral:rRNA from 1 species